AUUGAACGCUGGCGGCAGGCCUAACACAUGCAAGUCGAACGAGUGGCGGACGGGUGAGUAAUGUCUGGGAAACUGCCUGAUGGAGGGGGAUAACUACUGGAAACGGUAGCUAAUACCGCAUACCAUCAGAUGUGCCCAGAUGGGAUUAGCUUGUUGGUGGGGUAACGGCUCACCAAGGCGCCGAUCCCUAGCUGGUCUGAGAGGAUGACCGGCCACCUGGGAACUGUGACACGGUCAAGACUCCGACGGGAGGCAGCAUUGGGGAAUAUUGCAGAAUGGGGGCAAGCUUGAUGCACCCAUGCCGGGUGUAUGAAGAAGGCUUUGGGGUUGUAAAGUACUUUCAGCGGGGAGGCUUUACCCGCAGAAGAAGCACCGGUUAACUCCGUGCCAGCAGCCGCGUAAUAC
rnacentral:rRNA from 1 species